rnacentral:rRNA from 1 species
GACGAACGCUGGCGACGUGCUUAACACAUGCAAGUCGAACGGAAAGGCCCUGCUUUUGUGGGGUGCUCGAGUGGCGAACGGGUGAGUAACACGUGAGUAACCUGCCCUUGACUUUGGGAUAACUUCAGGAAACUGGGGCUAAUACCGGAUAGGAGCUCCUGCUGCAUGGUGGGGGUUGGAAAGUUUCGGCGGUUGGGGAUGGACUCGCAGCUUAUCAGCUUGUUGGUGGGGUAGUGGCUUACCAAGGCUUUGACGGGUAGCCGGCCUGAGAGGGUGACCGGCCACAUUGGGACUGAGAUACGGCCCAGACUCCUACGGGAGGCAGCAGUGGGGAAUAUUGCACAAUGGGCGGAAGCCUGAUGCAGCAACGCCGCGUGCGGGAUGACGGCCUUCGGGUUGUAAACCGCUUUCGCCUGUGACGAAGCGUGAGUGACGGUAAUGGGUAAAGAAGCACCGGCUAACUACGUG